ACCUGGCGGAGCUACACAUGCAAGUCGAGCGGAUGAGUGGAGCUUGCUCCAUGAUUCAGCGGCGGACGGGUGAGUAAUGCCUAGGAAUCUGCCUGGUAGUGGGGGACAACGUUUCGAAAGGAACGCUAAUACCGCAUACGUCCUACGGGAGAAAGCAGGGGACCUUCGGGCCUUGCGCUAUCAGAUGAGCCUAGGUCGGAUUAGCUAGUAGGUGAGGUAAAGGCUCACCUAGGCGACGAUCCGUAACUGGUCUGAGAGGAUGAUCAGUCACACUGGAACUGAGACACGGUCCAGACUCCUACGGGAGGCAGCAGUGGGGAAUAUUGGACAAUGGGCGAAAGCCUGAUCCAGCCAUGCCGCGUGUGUGAAGAAGGUCUUCGGAUUGUAAAGCACUUUAAGUUGGGAGGAAGGGCAGUAAGUUAAUACCUUGCUGUUUUGACGUUACCAACAGAAUAAGCACCGGCUAACUUCGUGCCAGCAGCCGCGGUAAUACGAAGGGUGCAAGCGUUAAUCGGAAUUACUGGGCGUAAAGCGCGCGUAGGUGGUUCAGCAAGUUGGAGGUGAAAUCCCCGGGCUCAACCUGGGAACUGCCUCCAAAACUACUGAGCUAGAGUACGGUAGAGGGUAGUGGAAUUUCCUGUGUAGCGGUGAAAUGCGUAGAUAUAGGAAGGAACACCAGUGGCGAACGCGACUACCUGGACUGAUACUGACACUGAGGUGCGAAAGCGUGGGGAGCAAACAGGAUUAAAUACCCUGGUAGUCCACGCCGUAAACGAUGUCGACUAGCCGUGGGGAUCCUUUGAAUCUUAAGUGGCGCAGCUAACGCAUUAAAGUCAACCGCUGGGGAGACUGGGCGCAACGUUUAAACUCAAAUGAAUUGACCGGGGCGGCACAAACAGGGGUAGCAUGUGGUUUUAUUU
rnacentral:rRNA from 1 species